rnacentral:rRNA from 1 species
AUUGAACGCUGGCGGCAUGCUUUACACAUGCAAGUCGAACGGUAACAGGCCUUCGGGUGCUGACGAGUGGCGAACGGGUGAGUAAUGCAUCGGAACGUACCCAGAGGUGGGGGAUAACGCAGCGAAAGCUGUGCUAAUACCGCAUGUGAUCUGAGGAUGAAAGCGGGGGACCGAGCAGCAAUGUUUGGCCUCGCGCCUUUGGAGCGGCCGAUGUCGGAUUAGCUAGUUGGUGGGGUAAAGGCCUACCAAGGCGACGAUCCGUAGCUGGUCUGAGAGGACGACCAGCCACACUGGGACUGAGACACGGCCCAGACUCCUACGGGAGGCAGCAGUGGGGAAUUUUGGACAAUGGGCGCAAGCCUGAUCCAGCAAUGCCGCGUGCGGGAAGAAGGCCUUCGGGUUGUAAACCGCUUUUAGCAGGAACGAAACGGUGUCCGCUAAUACCGGGCGCUAAUGACGGUACCUGCAGAAUAAGCACCGGCUAACUACGUG